CCCCCCCCCCCCCCUUUCCUUCAAUGCUUUGUGAUUAGUCUCAGUUUAAUAAUGUGAAUAUUUUUGUUUGUUUGCUUGUGUACAGCUAAAUGUUUUAUGUAAUGUAUUUAAAAUUGUUUUUAUAUAUUUAAAUACUCAAUACUAAUGCCAGUACCAUUGAUUGUUGCUGAAAUAAUUUUGAUUCAUAGCUGAAUAGAAUGUAAGACAUUUUCUCUCUGCAGCCAUAACCACCAAACUUUUUAAAACAUCAGGUCUAUAUGGCUGAAUGACAUAACUAUAAAACUGUAUUUAUGUGCAUCUCGGCCAUGAUGAACUUAGAUUUAGGUCUUUCUGUGCUGGUGGUGCAUUGGAUAGCAAGUUAUCUUUAUUUAGAUCAGCCAUUAGUAGUGGCACCAUCUUGUCAACCCCCCCCCCCCCUCC